GGUUAGUACUGCGAGAUCUUUCGAAGGUUUAUCCAUGUUGUUGUUAAUCUUGUAGCUGUGAUGAUGCUAACAUUACUACUGCCAGGCGUGCUCGGCGAGUCGCUCGGCUAGCAGGGUCAGGUGGGGACCUGGAAGCUAGAUCCGAGUCGGCCUCCGCGCCAGGCGGCGAACCAAUUCCAAUUGGUGAGGUACCUAGAAGCACUCGGGCGAAAGCUCGAGGCGCAAGUGCCAUGACUCGUGCGUUCUGUUUCGCGAGUCGAGAGCGCAAGGUUCAAAGAGACUGGUCUCGAGUCGGUCGUUGUUCACUACUUCGGCUGACUGGCUCUUGGUGUGACUAUGCAUGGGCGGCCCGGCCGUUCGGUAUAGCAAUAGCAAGAGUUCCCAUCAUGAGACUGGCCGCCUCACACUUUUCACUUCUUAUUGAAUCUUCUUGAUUGAUUGAAAGCAGAAAGUUAACACGGGAAAUUGAAAUACAACUCUAGGCGGUGGAUCACUCGGCUCGUGCGUCGAUGAAGAGCGCAGCAAACUGCGUGAAGUAGUGUGAAUUGCAGAACACCUUGAUCAUCGACAUCUCGAACGCACCUUGCGGCCGAGGUUUCAAGCCUCGGCCACGUCUGUCUGAGGGUCGGCCUACUCUUAGGAGUAACCGCUGUGCAAGGCGGUUUGUUCAGGAGUUCCAUCUGGAUCUGGCUUGCUUGUCUUAACAAACAAACGGCCGGAAUCGGAUGCUCUUGUAAAUUGUCGAACAGCGCCAGUGUCUAUCUGUCUGUGUCUGCCUGCGUCGUUGACCGAUGCGUGGGUAGUGCAGCAGGUAGAAAAUGCAAAGCGAAGCGAAUCGAAUCGGCGCUCGUUGGCAGGUCUCUGUCGAUGCGUAAGCAGAGAACUCGGCUGUCACUGAUCUACCGUGUCCGACAGGAUAUGGUAGUAGCAGUCGGGGUGCUGACGAAGCUGACCGAGCGACUAACUAAGCGCUUGCGUGUCUGGUGCGCAGCAAUGUCAAGUUAUGACAAUAUUCGGCUCAGUCGCGAAUCAAUCUGGG
rnacentral:rRNA from 1 species